rnacentral:misc_RNA from 1 species
CCAAUCUUAACACGACGAAAAAGGAGUUUAUAGUGUCUUUUACUGAGAUUGGGAUCGCGUUCAGAGCCAUAGCGAGCCCUGCAGUGCUGAGUAUACUCCCUGUUGUUGGAAACAAAACACUCGCUGGUUAGUAUUGUCUUUGUCGUGGAAAAACAGAAAGACAUUUGUUAUAAUUAUAGUUCAUUAUUCAUAAAUCCAUGUAUGUUUUAAUUACUCGGAUGUAUUCAGGAGGUAUGGUUUUAAAAUGUUUAUUUGUUUAUAGGGAACUUAAGAGGUCUUCUUGGUGACUUCGAUGAGAUUCCAGAUAAUGACCUGAGGACGCCAUCAGAGGAAAUAUUAUUAACAAACUCAACCUCGGAGAGGAUUCACUAUGAUUUUGGCUUAUCGUGGAGAAUUACGGAAGAUAUUUCGUUGUUUAGUUAUGAACCUGGAAAAUCUUUUAGUGACUAUCAACUACCGAGAUUCCGACCAACAUUUAUUCUACCCACAAACCUUCCCCCGGAAGUUGUAGAGGUGUGUGGGACAAGCCGAGAGUGUGCAUUUGAUUUCACCCUAACAGAUUCGGUCGAAUUUGCAACAGAAACUGUGGAACUCUUGAUUAUCUUUAAUUCUUCACUUGCAUCUUCUAGUAAAAUAAAGAGCUGUGAAGACCUACCAUCUGUUGUUGGGGGUGUUUGGAAUGCAACAAACACGCUUGAAGGUUCAAAUGCCACCUUAUCAUGCUUUCAUGGCUAUGAGGCGACAGGCAAAAGUGGUAAUAUUCAGUGUCAUAAUGGAUCGUGGGGUAACUUGACCAACAUCAAAUGUAUUCCAAUAGUACCAAUUUCUACUACAAUGACAACAAAGGCGGUAACAACUUCAGAGGAACUGAUAACAGAACCGACGACAAGCAUCGAAAUGUCAGCCUCUCCUGAUAGGACGGAUAACGAGUUAGAGGGGAGCUCGCGUCAUAACUACGUCAUCACUAUCUGUGUUGUGGUGCUUGUCGUCAUUAUCAUCGUGAUAAUUACUGUUGUUCUUUACAGACUAUAUAAAAACAACAGGAGACAAGAAUCAAAUCAAUAUCCUUUUGGAAAACUGUCAUACUUAAAUGGAUACUCGGUCUAUGAUUAUUAGACAAAAUGCUUUUUCAAAAUAAUGUUUUUAUAUUAAGUCUAACAUGAAUAAUGAUUAAUAUGUUAUCAAAAACCUAUUGUCCGUUUUUAAAUGUUUAUUAUCACUGCUUUUAAUGUAUACUUAUGUAAUAUACUAGUAAUUGAUCAUGAUCUAUGUGUAAGAAAGCGCAAUUAACUGAGGAUUUACUACUUGUUGAAAAGUUUGUUUUCAAAUGAAUAUUUAUGAUUAUCACAAUACCAAUAAAAACAGGCAUAUAUUCUACAGUUUGUUUCCCUUAUUUUGUGUUUACAUUUUGUUUGAGAAUAAUGUACAUGUCAUUUAUUUUGAAAAAAAUGUUUUUAUCAAAAUAAAAAAUAUGAAAG